rnacentral:lncRNA from 1 species
AGUAAAUUACAUAGUGCUAACAAUCAAUACUAAUGCUAACAAAACACAUUCAAUUCAAUAUUACGAACGAGAAUAUAUUGAAUGUCUAGACAAGAGGGGUUGUUCUGAUGGUAAGCAACUCCCACUUCCAACCGAUAGGUUGUGAGUUCGAGUCUCCCCAAGAGCAAGGUGGAAAGUUCUUGGCCUUAAUUAUAGAAAGGGGUUGUUCUGAUGGUAAGCAACUCCCACUUCCAACCGAUAGGUUGUGAGUUCGAGUCUCCCCAAGAGCAAGGUGGAAAGUUCUUGGAGGGAAAGAUGAUGGAAGUCUAUUUGGAAACAACCUCUCUACCACAUGGUACAGGUAAGGUCUGCGUACACACUACCCUCCCCAGACCCCACUAAGUGGAACUAUAUUGGGUUGUUGUUGUUGUUGUAAUAUAUUGAAUGUCUGUUUUUUGUUUUGCAAUAACUUAGAUAAAAAUGCAUAACCAAUUUUAUUUUGCUUUGGCUUUUAGUCAUGUAAUUAUUACUCCCUUAUUAGUCUAUUUAUUUAGCAUGACUUAAUGCUUUUAGAUUAUGUUUAUUUUUAUUACGGUUAUUUAAUUAGCAAUUCAUAUUACAUAGUUUUAUUGUCUUUAUUGUUGAAUAUUUUAGGUAAUGUCACGACACAUAUCAUAUUUUGUAUUAUUUUCUUGGAAAAUACUUUGUAUAAUUGUAUCUUACUAUGAUUAAAGAAAAAUUUUGAGUAUACGUUAUAUGUUUUGUUCUACGAAGAUUUUACCGGAAAAAAAUCAGAAAAAAUCCGAAUAACUCGAAAAUCCGAGAAAAUUCGAGAAAAACCGACAUUGAAAAACUUGAGUUUUAUUGGUUUGGUUUGGUCUUUAGAUUUAAUAACCCGAUACAAUUAGUUUAAUUUGAUAAUUGUAAAAUCAGAAUCAACCCGGUCUAUGUACACCCCUAAUUGGAGUUAUAUUAGUAGUGAAAAAUUGAUGAAGAAAUUACACUAGUACCUAAGCAGGAGCACCGGUAUUAAUUAUUGUGCUUCCCAGAGCUCUUAUAGUAACCAAUCAAUUAAUAAGCUAUGUUUCAUUCCUAAACCACUUAGAAUUAGUUAUAUGAAUCUAUUACUCUCUAAUUCCAUUUUGCGUGACACUCCCAAAUGAUGCAUUUCCAUAUUUAAAAAUAACUAAUUUUAUAUUUCUCAAUUUACCUUUAGGGGUCAUUUGGUAUGAGGUAUUAGAUAGGAUAAGAUUUGAAAUUAAAUUUAUAUUCCAUUCGGUCUAAAAUAAAUGAUUUUUUGAAUGUUUUCAUACAGAUUAAGAAAUUCACUUUUUUAACAUUAAUAGCAAUGAAAUUGACCAUAUUAACAUUUACUAUCUCAAAUAAACGCUUCUAACACAUAUUCCAACACUAUUUACUCCAAGGACAAUAUAGAAAAAAAUAAUUAAUUCAUUCUUGAAAUGUGAAACAAUAACUUAUUUUGAACCACAAGAAAAAUGCUAAAAAUUACUUAUUUUGGACAGGUGGGAGUAUCUUAUUUGGUUGGAGUCAUAAAUUUAUCCUGGAAGGUAUAAACAUAAUCCCACGUCUUAUCUCACUUAUCCCAUCUUAUGUCAUCUUAUCCCAUCAAAUGUGGGUUUAUUUUAUCCAUAUCUCAAGUGGUAUAUAUUAGUAUCGAAAUUAUAAUCCCGGAAUAAUUUAGUCCGCGUAGCAAAUGAUCCCACGGUUCACAGCAACUACCUUUAGAAUAUUGGUUAGGGAGGGGAAAUCCUCUUAACCCCUAUCUUAAAGGGAAGAUGGUUGCUUAUCUCCGGAAGGAAUUCAAACCUAGGGAGAUAGAACUCUUUCCAGAAGAGUUGGUC